CGAAGGGGGCUAGCGUUGCUCGGAAUCACUGGGCGUAAAGGGCGCGUAGGCGGCCUGAUAAGUCGGGGGUGAAAGCCUGUGGCUCAACCACAGAAUUGCCUUCGAUACUGUUAGGCUUGAGUAUGGUAGAGGUUGGUGGAACUGCGAGUGUAGAGGUGAAAUUCGUAGAUAUUCGCAAGAACACCGGUGGCGAAGGCGGCCAACUGGACCAUUACUGACGCUGAGGCGCGAAAGCGUGGGGAGCAAACAGGAUUAAAUACCCUGGUAGUCCACGCCGUAAACGAUGAAUGCCAGCUGUUGGGGUGCUUGCACCUCAGUAGCGCAGCUAACGCAUUAAGUAUUCCGCCUGGGGAGUACGGUCGCAAGAUUA
rnacentral:rRNA from 1 species